rnacentral:sRNA from 1 species
CUUUGAACUCCUCACAGAUAAAUGGGACUUUUGUUUUAUUCUUUUUGGAAAGAAUCUAAAACAUUUACUAAAUUGAUCGUCUGAGCAUUAUGUCAGCUAAAAAAAUUCAAUUGAUGGAUGUCUCCAAAAGCCACCCAGACUUUACGGCCAUUAAUACCAGGAGUGAAUUUCAUAUUAGUGGUUUAGCAGGGUUCGUCUUUCUCAUGUUGGUUACUGCAAUUGUGAGUGUGGGUAUCAUAGUUCAUUUCGCAGUAGGCAAAAGUGAAACGGUAUGCAGAUGUGAGCCAGGGACUACAUUGAAAGGACAGACUUCUGAAUGCUCAAAACUUGCCAGUCAAGGAAAUAAGGAGUUGUGU